AGAGGAGAGGGCAGAACUGUACAGUGAAGGUAGAGGAAGAAGAAGGCAGAACUGUAAAGGUAGAGGAGGAAGAGGGCAGAACUGUAAAGGUAGAGGAGGAGAGUGACGUACCUGGGUCAUCUUCUCCCUGUUGGCCUUGGGGUUGAGGGGGGCCUCUGUGAGCAGGACGGGGUGCUCCUCUGGAGCCACUCUCAGCUCGUUGUAGAAG